GCUGUUGUUCAGCAAGUGUGAAAGUGUACAGAAGGAUCAUGCCAGAAACGAUGAAAAGUAGAGAUGAAGGUGUGUUUCCUGUAUUAUCAACACACUGAGGACAGCUGAACUCAUCUCAACCUUGCAGCCUCAUCACAGUUGAAAUGAAGGUGUGUAAAUUUCCUGUAUUAUCAUCACACUGAGGAAAGUUGAAUUCAUCUGUUCACCAUCUCGUUCUACAGCCACACAGUAUAAGCAAAGUAGAGAUGGUGUGUUUCCUGGAUUAUCGUCACACUGAGGACAGCUGAACUCAUCUCAACCUCACAGCCUCAUCACAGAGAUGAAGGUGUGUUUCCUGGAUUAUCAUUAUACUGAGGACAGCUGAACUGAUCUCAACCUAGCAGCCUCAGCACAUUAGAAAUGAAGGUGUGUUUUCUGUAUUAUCAUCACUCUGAGGACAGUUGAAUUCGUCUGUUCACCAUCUCCUUCUACAACCACAUAGUAUUAGCAAAGGAAAUGGAAAUUGCAUUGUGGGUAGGGGAGUCCUCUGGUCGUCAUUACGUAUAGCAUCAGAUACUCAAAUCAUGCCUCGAUUUACUUGCUGUGUGCCUCACUGUUACAAUAACAAUCAGAGAGAUAGACAUUUGAGCUUUUACACUUUCCCAGCAGACACGGAGGAAGGGAAAGAAUGGGUUGAUAACAUUGGUAGAGCUUUGAAGAAAGGGAAGUUCAGUAGGUUUGAGCCAACAACAGGGCACCACGUUUGCUCUGAACCUUCGAAGGAGGGGAGAAAACGUACACUAACAGAAGACCAACGGUAUUUAGAUACCUAACAGAAAAGGUAACUCAAUCUAGGAGAACUUUGAUAAGACAAACACCACCUGUCACUGAGUCAAUGUCGGAAAAUGCAAAAAGAGACGUCGGACAUUACGACAACCAUUCCUACAGCUUGCCACAUUCAGACAUGAAGGACCUUCUCAAAUCUGUGAAAGAAAAAAGUGGGAUUAUUCAUGAAAUGGAGGACAAAUUGCAUGAUAUACAAAAAGAACUUUCAGAGACAAUACAACAUCUUAAACAAUGCCAGACCGAUUGGGAACAGACAAAGAAGAAUGCAGAAGAAAAUGAUGUGUGGGAAGAGCGUUAUAAAGAUCUCCAGAAAAAACUUGAAGAAGAGAAGAAGAAAGAAAACACUUUCAGCAUGGAGUCUUUGAAAGACAGACCAGAAGCUAUUAAGUUUUACACAGGGUUUUCUUCUUAUGUAGAGUUCAAGAACUUUCAUGACUUUCUGUCUCCAGAUAUUUCUGAUAUAUGCACUACUGGGGUUCAACUUACCAUGACAAAGACAAAGAGAAAAAUACACCUGUUCUUUAGAUUCAGAAGAUGAAUUACUUCUUGUCUUGGCCAGGCUGAGAGUUGGAUUACUAGGAGAAGACCUAGCUUUCAGGAUGGGAGUAGGUGUAGCAACAGUUUCAUGGAUUUGCAGGACAUAUUUUGAGCUGAUGCAUUUUCGCUUCCGGAAGUUGCCAAUCUGGUCAUCUAAAGAAAUUGUAGAAGCUACUAUGCCACAGUGCUUCAAAGAAGAGUAUCCAUCUACGAGGGUCAUUUUGGACUGUACAGAACUUUUCAUUGAAAGGCCAUCAGGAUACGUUACACAGUCAGAGACAUAUUCUUCCUACAAAAGUCACAAUACUGCCAAAGGACUUGUGGGAAUAGCACCAAAUGGAUUUAUCAGUUAUGUGUCAGAUUUGGCUCCUGGGCGCAUGUCAGACAAAGAAAUGACAGAACUUAGUGGACUUGUGGAUCUGAUGGACGAGGGGGAUUCUGUCAUGGCAGACCGAGGAUUCCUAAUUGAUAAAUAUCUCGCGAAGAGGAAGGUAAAAUUGAAUAUCCCUCCAUUUAUUGGUUCUUAGGGACAACCUAGUCCUGCGGAAGAGGAAGAAAAAAGAAGAAUUGCCAGGCUCAGAAUUCAUAUGGAACGUGUUAUCGGGAGAAUUAAAAACUAUCGUUUACUGAAUUAUGUUUUUCCAAACUCAGUGGCUAGUGAUUUGAACAAGAUAUGGGUCAUGUUUUUAUUUAGUGAACCUAUGCACAGAGCCAUUAUUUUCUGAAUGACUGGUAAAAUUAUCAUGUGCAGACUGAAAACUGUCCAGACUGUUCUGAUUAACUAGGCUGUCUGAAACGUGAGAAACAAGAAUGUGAAUAUCUUAUUAAAUUUAUUUGGGAAGUAAAAAUGUUCCAUCACAGAUGCCUUUAAUCACAGUUACAAAACUUGUUUGUAAGGAAAUAUUUUCUGGAAUGUUAACUUAAGAAGCACCAUCACAAUUUCUAGGGAGGCUUAAUCUUAAUGAUACAGCACCAAGUUACAAUAAAAGACACAUCACAUAUUGUGUAAACUACACAUAAAUAUGGUAAAAACACCAAAUGGAUAAUAAAUCUCAU
rnacentral:lncRNA from 1 species